UGCUCCAUUGCAAAUGCCUGAAAGGAAGCAGGGAUGGGCUGCCUCUCCUUGGAACAUGCUACUUGGUUUUUAACACACUUUUCCCUGUGUGCUUUCCCUGUGAUUCCAUAUGGCAACUCUCCAGCAUUGGGCUGAGAAGCAAUUUCAUAUUUCAUUGCAUUUCUGUGCCAGCACUGCCUUGGACUCUGACUAAUGCUAACCAGUGUAAUUAUCUGUGACUUCCCUCCUAUGCUUUCCAUUUCCACUGAAUCCAUUGAAUGGUAUUCUGCAGUUCACAAAAGUUAUGAGUAUGAUAUAGAAGAGAGCUGGAAGAGGGUACUGAGGAUAAAAAAAUGAGGUGGUAAACAAAGCAAUUCCUACUAAAUCAAAUGCAUAACAUCUGAACUUGAGAUUCUCCUCUGGACUCCCGUUAAAAUCAUUGAGGAUUCUGCUUCUAGGCUUGCAUGUCCAAUGCUUUGAUCUUUAUUCUUGGAAGUCUGUGUUAGGACUUAUCUUGGUCUGGUAAGGUAUUUGAAAUGUAAAGUGCUGAAUAGUUUUUGCUUUUCUGCAUGUGAGAACCAAAGGCAGCCUAUUUUUUUUCCAAACAGAUGGAAACAAAGUCCCUGUUCAUACAGAGACAUGUGGAGAGCCAUGUGAAGAUUCUUGUGUGAAUAAGUCUUAAAAUAACAAUAUCCACACUAGAUAACAUUUGUAUCAAUAGCAGGGAUGUAAGAUAGAAGGGGUAGUGGAUUUCUGUAUGAAUUCCAGGAAAACAGGUCUGUGUAUUUGUAAAGGAAAGGAGAUCAAGAAUCCCAGAUAGUUGGAAGACUCUCAUGUGCUUGCUAGACACAAAAGGUGCAGGUAAGUAUCUCCUGGAGGUUCCCCUCAGCUCCACCUGUUGUUAGCAGGUGAUGGGCAGAACCCAGAGUGUUUAGUGACCAUAUCCCAGAUGGGCAGUAUUGUUUCUUGCUUUUGUUUGUGCUGAAUUUUAAGAUUUUUCUUAUCUACUUAAUAGAAAUGGAUAUAUUUCUCAAUUUCUGUUGUUAGCCUCUGACUUUGUGACUUCUGAUGUGGAGGAAUCCACAGACAAAUGGCAACACAACUCGGGCAGGAAGGCUGGAAAUAUUAUCCUGUUGCACUGUAAACAAUCACUGAACCUUCUGAAGAGAUUUCUCAUCUGGGCUGUUUUCCUGGUCACAGCACAGAGGAACUGAGGACCAGUGCUUUGUGCCAUGGUUUCCAUUGGCUCCUUUUGACUUGUAAAAUUCUUCAUCUAUGAUGUUUGUACACGCAGUAUUACUUAACCCUAAGGAAGAGCAAAGUGGUUGAUUUUCAUAGUUUCAAGGAGAGACGGGAACAAAUUGUUUUAUUUCACUUCAUGCAUUUCCUUUCCCUGGGCCUCACCUGAUUGAGGUAUUGGCUCUCUGCAGGUCUCAUGUUUCUGUCACAUGGAGCCUUUGCUGUGUGGGUCUGGCAGGCCCUUUAGUGGAACCCACAGAUAUCUGGCAAGAGUAGAGGCGUAACGUCGAUUUAUCUGAGUCAAAAAAGAGCCAGAGUUUACUGAAGCAUGAAUUUGCACUGUACCUUAAAGGGGAGGUGUGGACAUAUAAGCAGAAUUUCAUGUUUGUUUGUAUUCCCAUCGUAUAUGUCAGAUCUUCACAGAGAUUUUCGUAGAUUCCCUCUACAAACAAUAUUGCAACCAGCAGAGAUUCUUAACACAGAGCAGGCUUGAGCAAGGAAUGCAAGUCCAUCCCUUCCUUGAAGAUCUCUCUAUACUACUGAAUGUUAAAUCUUGUGUACGUACGAGGAAGCACUGAGAGAAGAUGCACAGAGGAACAUAA